ACCGGGAUCGUAAAUUUUCAGUCGAGGAAUGAAGAGAACAAUCGGAAAAAGAUCAAAAGCGGUCACCAUGGCCGGAAUUGUUAUCGGAGAAACUUGGACAGGAGAAGUGAAAAAUGGGAAGAGAAGAAAUGGAAUGUGGGAGAGAUUCCCCGCUGAGGCAUAUAUAUAGGGGGCUUGAGCAUUUAUUAUUGGCGGAAAUCGAAGUGAACACAUCGGUAACCGAAGAAUUAAAUGCUUUGACUGAGGCAAAUCGGAUAGAAGGGAAGGUUCUAGAAUGGGAGAGAUCGAGAGAAGGGCCCGAUAUGAGAGAUCGUAAGAGUCGUGACUAAGAGAACGGAAGGAAUGGAGAUCGAAAAAGAAGACAAAAGACUUGUAAUAACCUCCUCCAUAAUCAGAGCCGAGGUAGUUAAAGCAUUGCCAGGUAAAAUCUCAACCGCACGCCCCAGAAUCGCCCACGUUUCUGACAUGCGCUGUACAUCCUAAUCUCCACCGUUGAUCCAACUUGUAAGGACGAGCUCAGAGCCCUUGGAUCAAAGAAGAA
rnacentral:misc_RNA from 1 species